rnacentral:rRNA from 1 species
UACGUAGGGUGCGAGCGUUGUCCGGAAUUAUUGGGCGUAAAGAGCUCGUAGGCGGCCUGUCACGUCGGUUGUGAAAGCCCGGGGCUUAACCCCGGGUCUGCAGUCGAUACGGGCAGGCUAGAGUUCGGUAGGGGAGAUCGGAAUUCCUGGUGUAGCGGUGAAAUGCGCAGAUAUCAGGAGGAACACCGGUGGCGAAGGCGGGUCUCUGGGCCGAUACUGACGCUGAGGACCGAAAGCGUGGGGAGCGAACAGG